GAGUUUGAUCGUGGCUCAGAUUGAACGCUGGCGGCAGGCCUAACACAUGCAAGUCGAGCGGAUGACGGGAGCUUGCUCCUUGAUUCAGCGGCGGACGGGUGAGUAAUGCCUAGGAAUCUGCCUGGUAGUGGGGGACAACGUUUCGAAAGGAACGCUAAUACCGCAUACGUCCUACGGGAGAAAGCAGGGGACCUUCGGGCCUUGCGCUAUCAGAUGAGCCUAGGUCGGAUUAGCUAGUUGGUGGGGUAAUGGCUCACCAAGGCGACGAUCCGUAACUGGUCUGAGAGGAUGAUCAGUCACACUGGAACUGAGACACGGUCCAGACUCCUACGGGAGGCAGCGGUGGGAAUAUUGGACAAUGGGCGAAAGCCUGAUCCAGCCAUGCCGCGUGUGUGAAGAAGGUCUUCGGGAUUGUAAAGCACUUUAAGUUGGGAGGAAGGGCAGUAAGUUAAUACCUUGCUGUUUUGACGUUACCGACAGAAUAAGCACCGGCUAACUCUGUGCCAGCAGCCGACCG
rnacentral:rRNA from 1 species